rnacentral:rRNA from 1 species
AAUGAACGUUGGCGGCGUGGAUUAGGCAUGCAAGUCGCGCGAUAAAUCCCGCAAGGGAUCGAAAGCGGCGUAAGGGAGAGUAACACGUGGAUUAUCUACCCUCGAGUCCGGGAUAGCCGCGGGAAACUGCGGGUAAUACCGGAUGACAUCUCCGGAUCAAAGGUGUGAUUCCGCUCGGGGAUGAGUCCGCGUCCUAUCAGCUAGUUGGUGGGGUAACGGCCUACCAAGGCAAUAACGGGUACGGGUGUGAGAGCACGACCCAGCUCACUGGGACUGAGACACGGCCCAGACUCCUACGGGAGGCAGCAGUGGGGAAUCUUGCGCAAUGGGCGAAAGCCUGACGCAGCGACGCCGCGUGCGGGAAGAAGGCCUUCGG